rnacentral:rRNA from 1 species
CAAUAGCGUAUAUUAAAGUUGUUGCGGUUAAAAAGCUCGUAGUUGGAUUUCUGUUGAGAACAGCCGGUCCACCUCUUGGGUGAGUAUCUGGAUUGGUCUCGGCAUCCUCUCGAAACUCGUUGCUGCGCUUGAUUGCGUGGUGCGGUGUUCGGGACUUUUACUUUGAGGAAAUUAGAGUGUUCACGGCAAGCUAUCGCAUGAAUACAUUAGCAUGGAAUAAUAAUAUAGGGCGUAUGCUUUAUUUUGUUGGUUUCUAAGGUUUACGCAAUGAUUAAUAGGGAUAAUUGGGGGCAUUCGUAUUAACGCGUCAGAGGUGGAAUUCUUAGAUUGCGUUACGACGAACUACUGCGAAAGCAUUUGCCAAGGAUGUUUUCAUUGAUCAAGAACGAAAGUAUGGGGAUCGAAGACGAUCAGAUACCGU